rnacentral:rRNA from 1 species
AGUGAACGCUGGCGGUAGGCCUAACACAUGCAAGUCGAACGGCAGCACAGUAAGAGCUUGCUCUUACGGGUGGCGAGUGGCGGACAGGUGAGGAAUACAUCGGAAUCUACUUUUUCGUGGGGGAUAACGUAGGGAAACUUACGCUAAUACCGCAUACGACCUACGGGUGAAAGCAGGGGAUCUUCGGACCUUGCGCGAUUGAAUGAGCCGAUGUCGGAUUAGCUAGUUGGCGGGGUAAAGGCCCACCAAGGCGACGAUCCGUAGCUGGUCUGAGAGGAUGAUCAGCCACACUGGAACUGAGACACGGUCCAGACUCCUACGGGAGGCAGCAGUGGGGAAUAUUGGACAAAGGGCGCAAGCCUGAUCCAGCCAUACCGCGUGGGUGAAGAAGGCCUUCGGGUUGUAAAGCCCCUUUGUUGGGAAAGAAAAGCAGCAGGUUAAUACCCCGCUGUUCUGACGGUACCCAAAGAAUAAGCACCGGCUAACUUCGUG